rnacentral:lncRNA from 1 species
ACAAGUUUGUUGGAUAACAAGUUAAAGCUUGUCUUGACGACGUUUGAAAUGAUAAAUCUGUAAAAUAAAAAUUCACUAGAACUUUAAGCAUGAAAGCAGAGGUACUGAGCAAUUAGCGAAUGGUAAGUGUGGAGAUAGAACAGAGGGCACAUACCUAUACCUUAUUUACGCUGCAAAAAGAGCUUCCUCGGGUCAUUGAUUAACAAGACAGGUGUGCGACGAACAUGAAAUCUGCACAGAAAAUAGUGUGAUUAAGUAACUGCAUUUAUGAGGACUAAUAGCAGAUGACAGUAGUUACAAAUCAAACAUCGUCAAGGAUGUUAAAGCUACUCCAAGUUGGACGGUGUACACAUUUUAUACUUCUAUAAAUCAGAGUCAUAAGGCACAACAACAGCCUUAGCACAAACGUGAGGUGAUAGUGCAGUGCUGGGCAAUGUCUUGAAGGCUGUUUGUAGAGUGGGCAUAUCGGUGAUUAUGCCAUCACCUUUAACAAACAUGGCUAUUCUGGAGAUUACACUUGUAUGUUCAUAAAUCGUCAUAACAAAUGCAAUAUUUUAGUGUUGAAGAAAAAGAGUACUAGAAGCUUCUACUGAAUAUAAUUAUCUAUUUAUAAGUGUAAUCAAUUGCUUAGAUCUGAAGGCAGAAAGAACUACAUAAUAUCCAACCAUAAAAUCGUCACUUUAUGUGUUCUUCGAAAUAUUGAUGGUUACACUGUGUGUGCUCACCAGAAUUUUAGCAAAUGUCAAAAGGAACAAACUAUACAUAACAGAUAGCUAAGUAAAUUAUGCUUUCCAUAUAUGAUCAUGAAAAGUAGAAGGAUGUUGUAGACAUGAGACUUCAUAUAUAAAUAUUUAGAGCCUACUUGGUUUGAGCCAAAUUUUGGCAACCCUAAAAAAUUGGCAGUUGAAUGCUUGGGCUCCAAUUUCUGGCAAUUCUUCGAAUCAAACACUAGCAAAGUUGCCAAAUGUUGGCCAGUCUGAGCUUUGCCAAAAAUUGGCAAGCCAAAAUGUGGCUCCAAAGCAAGCAGGCUCUUAUUUACUGCAUGCAGCUUCUGAGAUCCUGAACAGAGUAAAGAUCUUGGAUUCUCUGGUAUGAGCUAGAAAAAACUGAUUAAUCAGAGUUAUCUUGUUGAUUGAUAUUAUAGCACUUAUCUACGCGCAUCCUAUCAAAGAUCAAAAAACUAAGCUGAUCACAGCUAGCAUCUAUGUUCAUCAAACAUUCAAAGGGUUCUCAACCGGCAUGAUGACACUGAAAAUGAACUCUGUUCGGCGUUUAGCCACAGCAAUACUCUUAUGACCAGCAGCAACUGAGAAGUAAGACCAGACCUAACAUUUCAUAAGUGCCACAAAUGACACAUCUGGUGUCCAUCGUACCACUUCCCAAGAAACUGAAGCUAACAAUUCCCUCCACAGAGUUCAAAACUGCAAGCACACAGAAAGGAUGAUCACCAACUAAGAACCUAUAAACUAUCAAACGCUAACACAUUUUCAAGCCUUCAAAGACACAACUCUUAUCUUCUUAAUUUCUCCUACUUGAUAAAAUGCUAGUAUUGAAUAUUUACACCCUUGAAUGAAACAGAAUCAACCAAGUGGCGAACCAGAUAUUCGAAACACUGGAAGCAAGCCAAUCGUGCACCAGAACCUGAAUAGAAUACCUGAAAAGAGCAGCCGGCCACCAAUGCACCUAACGGGUAGCAAGAACACGAGGGUGCGCAUCGCCUUUCCAGCACCUGCC